UGAUUUAAAAUUGCAAAUUUUAAGGAAAAAAUUUUAAUUUAUUAAGGCUU
rnacentral:tRNA from 1 species